rnacentral:rRNA from 1 species
GACGAACGCUGGCGGCGUGCCUAAUACAUGCAGGUCGAACGCAUUUUCUUUCACCGUAGCUUGCUACACCGAAAGAAAAUGAGUGGCGAACGGGUGAGUAACACGUGGGUAACCUGCCCAUCAGCGGGGGAUAACACUUGGAAACAGGUGCUAAUACCGCAUAAUUCCAUUUACCGCAUGGUAGAUGGAUGAAAGGCGCUUUUGCGUCACUGAUGGAUGGACCCGCGGUGCAUUAGCUAGUUGGUGGGGUAACGGCCUACCAAGGCUGCGAUGCAUAGCCGACCUGAGAGGGUGAUCGGCCACACUGGGACUGAGACACGGCCCAGACUCCUACGGGAGGCAGCAGUAGGGAAUCUUCGGCAAUGGACACAAGUCUGACCGAGCAACGCCGCGUGAGUGAAGAAGGUUUUCGGAUCGUAAAACUCUGUUGUUAGAGAAGAACAAGGAUGAGAGUGGAAAGUUCAUCCCUUGACGGUAUCUAACCAGAAAGCCACGGCUAACUACGUG